rnacentral:rRNA from 1 species
CAGUAGCCACGGUAAUACGUAGGUGGCAAGCGUUGUCCGGAAUUAUUGGGCGUAAAGGGCUCGCAGGCGGUUUCUUAAGUCUGAUGUGAAAGCCCCCGGCUCAACCGGGGAGGGUCAUUGGAAACUGGGAAACUUGAGUGCAGAAGAGGGGAGUGGAAUUCCACGUGUAGCGGUGAAAUGCGUAGAGAUGUGGAGGAACACCAGUGGCGAAGGCGACUCUCUGGUCUGUAACUGACGCUGAGGAGCGAAAGCGUGGGGAGCGAACAGGAUUAGAUACCCCCGUAGUCCCUGUCUCUUAUAC